AGCGAACGCUGGCGGCAUGCUUAACACAUGCAAGUCGCACGGGCAGGGGCAACUCUGUCAGUGGCGGACGGGUGAGUAACGCGUAGGUAUCUAUCCUUGGGUGGGGGACAACCGUGGGAAACUACGGCUAAUACCGCAUGAUGACUGAGGUCCAAAGCCCGCGAGGGUGCCUGGGGAGGAGCCUGCGUACGAUUAGCUUGUUGGUGGGGUAAAGGCUUACCAAGGCGAUGAUCGUUAGCUGGUCUGAGAGGAUGAUCAGCCACAUUGGGACUGAGACACGGCCCAAACUCCUACGGGAGGCAGCAGUGGGGAAUAUUGGACAAUGGGCGCAAGCCUGAUCCAGCAAUGCCGCGUGUGUGAAGAAGGUCUUCGGA
rnacentral:rRNA from 1 species